rnacentral:sRNA from 1 species
AUCGGUUUGGAAAACAGACCUUAUGAAAGCAGUUUUAGUAAAGCAGUCCUCAGUUCAAGUGUUAUCCCCAGAUACCCUUCUUCAUGAGUCUUCUCCUAAGCGCCUAAUAAGUAACGCUCUGCAUAACAGGCCAUCAUCGCCGCCCUGAGUGGCUCAUUAAUUAAGGAAGUAUCUAUGUCUGGUAAAAUGACUGGUUUAGUAAAAUGGUUUAAUUCCGAUAAAGGUUUUGGCUUUAUCACGCCGAAUGACGGCAGCAAAGAUGUAUUUGUACAUUUCUCUGCAAUCCAGAGCGAUAAUUACAAAACGCUGGAUGAAGGUCAGCAGGUUUCUUUCACCAUUGAAAAUGGUGCUAAAGGCCCGGCAGCCGCCAACGUUACCGCGCUGUAAUAAGCGUGAGCUAUCGCCGACGCUUACGAUAGCGAUG